rnacentral:rRNA from 1 species
AUGAACGCUAGCUACAGGCUUAACACAUGCAAGUCGAGGGGCAUCAGGAAGAAAGCUUGCUUUCUUUGCUGGCGACCGGCGCACGGGUGAGUAACACGUAUCCAACCUGCCCUUUACUCGGGGAUAGCCUUUCGAAAGAAAGAUUAAUACCCGAUGGCAUAAUGAUUCCGCAUGGUUUCAUUAUUAAAGGAUUCCGGUAAAGGAUGGGGAUGCGUUCCAUUAGGUUGUUGGUGAGGUAACGGCUCACCAAGCCUUCGAUGGAUAGGGGUUCUGAGAGGAAGGUCCCCCACAUUGGAACUGAGACACGGUCCAAACUCCUACGGGAGGCAGCAGUGAGGAAUAUUGGUCAAUGGGCGCUAGCCUGAACCAGCCAAGUAGCGUGAAGGAUGAAGGCUCUAUGGGUCGUAAACUUCUUUUAUAUAAGAAUAAAGUGCAGUAUGUAUACUGUUUUGUAUGUAUUAUAUGAAUAAGGAUCGGCUAACUCCGUGCCAGCAGCCGCGGUAAUACGGAGGAUCCGAGCGUUAUCCGGAUUUAUUGGGUUUAAAGGGAGCGUAGGUGGACUGGUAAGUCAGUUGUGAAAGUUUGCGGCUCAACCGUAAAAUUGCAGUUGAUACUGUCAGUCUUGAGUACAGUAGAGGUGGGCGGAAUUCGUGGUGUAGCGGUGAAAUGCUUAGAUAUCACGAAGAACUCCGAUUGCGAAGGCAGCUCACUGGACUGCAACUGACACUGAUGCUCGAAAGUGUGGGUAUCAAACAGGAUUAGAUACCCUGGUAGUCCACACAGUAAACGAUGAAUACUCGCUGUUUGCGAUAUACAGUAAGCGGCCAAGCGAAAGCAUUAAGUAUUCCACCUGGGGAGUACGCCGGCAACGGUGAAACUCAAAGGAAUUGACGGGGGCCCGCACAAGCGGAGGAACAUGUGGUUUAAUUCGAUGAUACGCGAGGAACCUUACCCGGGCUUAAAUUGCAGUGGAAUGAUGUGGAAACAUGUCAGUGAGCAAUCACCGCUGUGAAGGUGCUGCAUGGUUGUCGUCAGCUCGUGCCGUGAGGUGUCGGCUUAAGUGCCAUAACGAGCGCAACCCUUAUCUUUAGUUACUAACAGGUUAUGCUGAGGACUCUAGAGAGACUGCCGUCGUAAGAUGUGAGGAAGGUGGGGAUGACGUCAAAUCAGCACGGCCCUUACGUCCGGGGCUACACACGUGUUACAAUGGGGGGUACAGAAGGCUGCUAGCGGGUGACCGUAUGCUAAUCCCAAAAGCCUCUCUCAGUUCGGAUCGAAGUCUGCAACCCGACUUCGUGAAGCUGGAUUCGCUAGUAAUCGCGCAUCAGCCACGGCGCGGUGAAUACGUUCCCGGGCCUUGUACACACCGCCCGUCAAGCCAUGGGAGCCGGGGGUACCUGAAGUACGUAACCGCAAGGAUCGUCCUAGGGUAAAACUGGUGACUGGGGCU